UAUAAAGUUAAACUUGAGUUCUGCUGCAACAAAUUAACACAUAAUUUCUUUAUUUGUUCAGUAUCUGAAAUAUCAACUCCCUCUCUCAUCCCUUGAUAUCCUUAGAUUUUGAUUUUGAUUUUGAUUUUUAUUGCUUUCCUUUUCUCAUAUAUAAUCAUGCAAUUCUAAUCAAACCCACAUAUUAUGAUGUAUGCCAUAGAGACUCGUGCCAUUAAGUCAUUUUGACUGAAGGGAAUGGAAUAGUGCCUGUUUAAUCUCAACUCUCGAGCGCUAGUUUUGUCCUUGCUCAGGAAUGGUUGCAGAGUUUGUUCUGAGAUCACCUGUUUAACCUUCCAUGGUUUGAGCUUUAGCAAACCCAGAAAAUGAAUGUCUCAGAAAGCGAUAAUAUGAGCAUGGAUACGAAAAAAUCCGUUGGAAACCUUGCAGCAACUCUUCAUGCUCUACUGGGUCUAAAGGCACAUCUAACUCCCCACUGGGUCAAAUCAGUUUGUGAUAUAAUAAAAACCCUGCCUUCUGAGUUUGAUGCCAAAGUAGAUGAUGAUGAUUCUGGGAAUGCCAUUUCAAAAAUAAAAGAUGAACUUGAUGCCUUAACUAGCCGUAUAAACCAGCUCAGCAUAGAGAGAAGGCAGCUCCUAAUUCAUUAUCUGGACUUGAAAGGGAACAUUCGUGUAUUUUGUCGCGUAAGACCUAUCACGCAGGGGGAGAAUUUUGGUCGGUUAAGACCUGCAGUGGCUGUGGAUUCAAAUAAUGUUCUUUUAAAACUUGCUGCUAAUAAGAGUAAGAAUUACAGUUUUGAUAGAGUUUUCCACCCAGGUUCAUCACAAGAUGAAGUUUUCUCAGAAGUUGAACCAGUCAUCAAAUCUGUUCUUGAUGGUUACAAUGCUUGCAUUUUUGCUUACGGGCAGACUGGUACAGGAAAAACUUUCACAAUGGAAGGUAAACCAAAUGCUCCUGGGGUAGUUCCUCGCACAUUCCAGGCGCUAUUCAAGCAAGCAGUUGACAGUAACCAUUCAUUUCUUAUCAGAUUCAGUAUGCUUGAGAUUUACAUGGGAAACCUCAAGGACUUGCUGGUCCCCAAGCCAAUAAAAGCUACAGAUCCUAUGUCUCCUUGCCUUUCAAUUCAAACAGACCCAGAGGGAGGAAUUGAAAUUGACAACCUUGUAUCAAUUCAAGUAAAUGACUUCCACCAAGCUUUGAGGCUGUACAGAUUAGGAUGCCGUUUCAGAUCAACUGCCUCAACAAACUCCAACAUAUCUUCAAGCCGAUCUCAUUGCAUGAUCCGCAUAGCAAUAACUUGCUUUGAUGCUCAUGAGAGGCGCCGGGAAACAAACAAAAUUUGGUUAGUGGACCUUGGAGGAAGUGAGCGUGUGCUGAAGACAAAGGCAUGGGGCAAAAGACUUGACGAAGGAAAAGCUAUUAAUUUGUCACUCUCUGCUCUUGGAGAUGUAAUUAAUGCCCUCCAAAUGAAAAAGCGUCAUAUACCUUACAGGAAUAGCAAGCUGACACAAGUUCUUAAAGAUUCUCUAGGUGAUGAUUCAAAAACACUAAUGCUAGUCCAUGUCAGUCCCAAAGAAGAAGAUUUAUGUGAGACCAUAUGUUCCUUAAAUUUCGCAACAAGGGCGAAAAACAUUCACCUAGGAAAUGAGGAUACAAUAGAAGUAAGAGAGCAGAAGGAAGUAGCAAUGGCAAAUCUGCAGAGAAAGAUGAUAGAGACUGAACAUGAGCGGUUGAACGUUAGACAAGAAAUUGAGAAAUUAAAAAAGAGAUUAGAAAAUUUCAGAGGAAAAAGUUUAUAUUCUGAGGAGCAACAUGAGGAAUAUAAUUUUAUUGAAGAACCACUUACAAAGAACAAUGUUGGAGACCAAAUAGUUGAUCCCUUGUCAAAGAUACCGGGAUUUAUGAGGCCAACCGUUUGCAGCCAAAGAAAAUCUGGGACAAAUUAUCAAACUUCAGAAUGGAAAGUCCCAGUCCCUGGAAGAAGGAAAAGGCCAUCAUCUAAUCGUGCUGAGUCUGUGACUUUUCCUGUGGAGGAUCAUUCAGAUUACAAAUCAGAACACAGUGUUUCCAAAUCUAGCUGUUUGGUGGGAUUAGACACGAGAAACAGUGCUGAUAAUGCAACAGAAUACAGCCAAGACACUCUUGAAACUGAUGUUGAAAUGACUGGCAUCCGACGGCAAGAAAAAGCACCUUGUUCAGCUAGUCAAAUGAAUGACAUUGGUCACAUUCAGAAAAUUACAGAUAGACAGAAAAGCAUGACUAAUAAUUACAUCAAAUUUUCGAAGGUUGACAAUUGGCUUGACCUACAAAAGAAUGAAACCAAUAUGAGUGGUUAUACUCAUAGGACUAAGCGGGUUUUAGCUAUUCCUAACUCCAAGAAGAAACAUCAGCAUAACGAGCAGAGCAAAGACAAUGUGGCUUUUGAUGAAAAAAUACAUAGUUUUCAUGAUUAUAGAAUGCCAAACAUCCACAGUGAAAAAGAUAAAAUGGUUACUGUCAGGGGAGUUGGAAUGAUUAUAUCAGAAGUGGCAGUUGACAAACCACUAAAAAAUUUCCAGGAUUUAUUCAAUGAGGACUCAAGAUCUCAUUUCAGUUCAAAAUCUCAGACAACUGAAGGAAAAGGAAUGAUACAAACACAAGAUUUUGUAGAUGACUCAUCAACAGAAGAUGACAAAUGGAGCACUUUUUCUCCAGAAGACGUGUAUUAUCAUAGACUAGGUGACUAUAAGGAUCAUAGUGGAGCCAAUGCACUGUCUUUCAAGCAGACAGUAGAAGGCGAAAAUGAAAUUUCAGACACUUUCCAGUUAAAGAACCAUGGAAGAUCUGAUUUAGGUGGCACCAACAUUUACUCAAAAGGGGAUUCCAGUGACUCAACGUCCAUGUUAGAACUUGAAUCAUGCUGUCCACAAUUAUCCACUGAAUCAGUUACAGAAGACGGUGAAAGGCAAGACUCAGAUUUCUCUAUUCAACCCUCAACAAAAGAAAGAAGAUGUGACAUACUCCAACUGAGAUCUCAAAGAGCAUUAUUUGAGGACUAUUCAAACCAGAAGGAUUUAACAAAGCAAUUUGACAAAUUUCAAGGAGAAACACAGAAGACAGGAAUAUGCCAUAUUCUGAAACAGAAAAUCGAGAUUUUAUGCAUCGGUGCUCUUCUAGGAUCGGGGUUUUGUAAUCUAGGAUAUGAGCAUGAGUUCUUCUAUGGGUUAAUGCUUUGAAGCAACACCAGUGGAUGAAAGCAUUAGCAAUUUCUUGAAUGGUGGAGACAGGGGUGGAGGUGAGAUGCAAAUGGAACAUCACAAAAGCUCAUGUUGUAGCCUUAUGUCGUAUUUGCUAGAUGCAAGGUUAAUCCUGUUUAAGCAAUGCUAUGUGCAUGCAUACUUGUGCAAUAAAGCAGUCAUUGUUCAUAAUCUUCAGUGUCUAACAAAUUCUUCAAGGCUUCAGAUUUCACUUACCUGCUACAAAUGAGAACUUCUCACUAUCCGAUAUUAUCAAAACUUUAGAUAUGAAAAGAGACGAAAUAAAAUGAAGGAAAAGAAGAGGAGAAAGGAAGUAAUAUUAAUUUUCCCUCAUGUUGUUUUAUAUUGAGGUUGAAUUUCCCUUGUUCAGUUAUCUGCAAGCAAAAGAAGAAAAUGUUCUUCUCUUCUUCAUUUCCCUUGGUUUCUCUCCAAGUUGGAGGAAAUUUUAUGGCUUUUAAAGGAAUUUGGGAAAAAAUUUACUUUC